rnacentral:rRNA from 1 species
AUUGAACGCUGGCGGCAGGCCUAACACAUGCAAGUCGAGCGGAGCGGCGGACGGGUGAGUAAUGCCUAGGAAUCUGCCUGGUAGUGGGGGAUAACGUCCGGAAACGGGCGCUAAUACCGCAUACUAUCAGAUGAGCCUAGGUCGGAUUAGCUAGUUGGUGGGGUAAAGGCCUACCAAGGCGACGAUCCGUAACUGGUCUGAGAGGAGGAUCAGUCACAAUUGAGAUGGGGCACGGGCCAGACCUCUACGGGGGGGAGCAGGGGGGGAUAUUUGAGAAUGGGCGAAAGCCUGAACAAGCCAUGGCGCGUGGAUGAAGAAGGGCUUCGGAUUGUAAAGCACUUGAAGUGGGGAAGCGGUACCCAAAGAAUAAGCACCGGCUAACUUCGUGCCAGCAGCCGCGGUAAUAC